AAACAAUAAAGUCAAUAAGGUAAAAUCAAGGGUAUCGGUGGUGUUGAAUUACUCAUCUCAUAUUUUGUGCAGGCAUUGUUGGGUCAGUACUUGCUAAGGAAGGACGAUUGCCAAAUGUACCUGAUAUUUUCUCCGGUGCAUUUAAGAUCGCCUGGAGGCAAAUUCGACAAGAUAAUUCAACCAGGUCAACUCCAAAGUCAGGCAAUGCUUCUUUGAUGCAGCAGGUUAAUAGCUUACGGCAGGAUCUGCAACUCUUGGCUUCAAAUAGAUCUGUUACAAUCGUGACAUCAAGUGGAUCAGGUUUUUGUUACUACA